rnacentral:lncRNA from 1 species
UCCACAAAGUCUGACAUGGGAUAGAGGAUAACAGAGAGUCUCCUGAGGACACUGAUCCCAUAAAAGAGACACCAGAAGGAGCAAAAUGCCACAGAACACAGUGAGAUGGUGGCAGGCAGAAGUUUGGCCAGCUUCGGAGGUGUGCAGUCGUGCUUGGGCUUUCUAAGGAAUGGAGGCGUCUUCCAAAGCCUACAGGACUGCCAGCUUUUGCUCCAAGGCAAGCUGCAGAACAGAGAAAAUUACCCACUUCAGCAGUCACGGGGUGCCUGAAACACCACUCCCAGUGCUCAGGGUUCCUGCAACUGUCAAGGAGAUGGCAUUUGCCCUUCUCAUCUCGGCUACCCUGUCCAGCCCACUGAAGCCCUAGAUGUCCGUUCUGAAGCUGCCCUAGCAGUGUCACUGCCUCUUCAGCCUGUUCCUCCAGAGCUGUGCCAGGCUCCCAGAUCACCUCUUCGCCUUCAUCCAACA